AACGCAUAUUGCGCUCUUUGGUAUUCCGAAGAGCAUGCUUGUUUGAGUAUCAGUAAACACCUCACCUCGUAUUUUUCUUGUAAAAUUACGAGAUGGACUUGAGCUCUCCCAACACUACUUGUAGUGGCGGGUUGCUUGAAAUGCAGGUGCAGCUGGACUUGGUCUGAGCUAAAAGCAUAUUUAUUUAGUCCCGUCAAACGGAUUAUUACUUUUGCUGCAGCUAACAUAAAGGAUCAAUUGUCCGAUGCUGACUGAUGCAGGAUUCACAAGUUUUUUUGUCGCAAGACAUCAUUCUUGUAAACUCGAUCUCAAAUCAAGUAAGACUACCCGCUGAACUUAA
rnacentral:misc_RNA from 1 species